GAAUUUUCCGCAAUGGGCGAAAGCCUGACGGAGUGACGCCGCGUGUGGGACGAAGGCCUUCGGGUCGUAAACCACUGUCAAUGGGAAAGAUGGGUGUCGAUGCUAAUACCAUCGGCAUCUGACGGUACCGGCAGAGGAAGCCCCGGCCAACUCUGCGCCAGCAGCCGCGGUAAGACAGAGGGGGCAAGCGUGGCUCGGAAUUACUGGGCGUAAAGGGCGCGUAGGCGGGAUGGCAAGUCGGUCGUGAAAUCCCUCGGCUCAACCGAGGAACGUCGAUCGAUACUGCUGUUCUUGAGGAUUGCAGAGGAGACUGGAAUUCCCGGUGUAGCGGUGAAAUGUGUAGAGAUCGGGAGGAACACCGGUGGCGAAGGCGGGUCUCUGGGCAAUUCCUGACGCUGAGGCGCGAAAGCGUGGGGAGCAAACGGG
rnacentral:rRNA from 1 species